CCAAGCAGCAUGAAGCAAAGUCCAGCUUUUUUAACUGAAACAAUGUUGCACUGGACUUACUGCUGGUUGGGUUUUUGGGCAGUUGAGCAGAAAAAAUUAAAACAGUGCUGCAGAACAUGGUCAGGCACAUUCAUGUCCUUCUUUGGAAUAACCUCCUGUUGCUUGAUGAUAUGCACAGUAACACACUUAAGGAAUGUCAUUUAUUGCACAGGUGUCAGGGGAUGUGGUUGAUGUGUGGUGUUUUCAGACAGAGCUCGAACACACGGGACAGGUCCUUCAGAAAGUGGAUGCAGGGGAUGCUGGAGUGGACAGUGGGACCACGGCUGGCCCUGGGCCAUGAUCUGGGCAGCUGACCCGUGAACUUUCUGUUAAAAUCCUAAUGCCACGUUAAAAUAAGAACAUACCUAUGGUGGUGGCAGUGAUGGCAUUUACUUCACAGGAGAAACUGGGGUGUCUAUCAGGAUAAGGAUCACAUUCCUUCAUUUUUGCACCAUUUAUUCAUCCCUACAGGCACUCCAAACGCACUGCCAAGGCUCGGGCUGUUUCCCACCCCAGCAGAACACGGGCAGCCCAACCCUCUUUCACGGCGCCCGCAGACUCCCUGGGGCCUCCCAGAGUUCCGGUGGGAGAAAGACACCUCGGGAUGUCUGAGGAUCCUCAUCCCCGGGAAGAAAAAAUGAAAUUUCCAACAGUUCAGUAAUCAUGCUUCGCAUCUUCGCUGUCUUCUUGAGUUGCUGCUCCUUCCCACCACUGUACACAUGUUGGGGCAGGCUGUGUCUUCCUAUUGCCACCAGCCCAUGCCCAUGUUGCCUAUGCUCUCAGUGCAGUUGGAGAUAAACAGAUCAGGCACCAGGAACAGUGCAGCUCUCUGCCACUCCCUUCCUAUUCUGUUAAAAUUAUUAUUAAUAUUUUGUUUUCACUGCCUUACAGAUCAGAAGGAGCUUGGAUUUUUCUUGGCUUAUUCUGAUCGUUGCAUACCUUUACUUUCCCAUAAAAGAAGUUCAAAUUUGGACUUGCUCCAUCCUUUUUGUAUCCUGUCUUUUGUGGAAAAUGGUAGCAAGCCUCUCUGCCCACUGUGGAUAAAAAUAGAGCUUUUCACUUUCUUAAAAUUGAAAGUUGGUUAUAAUUUCUAAUAUCAAUUUGUCAAAUACACAGCUGGUAGAAUUCUGCCAUUCCUAUACUAGAAAAUAUUAAAGGAAGAAAAAGUUGGUUUUAGGGGAGACCUAGGCAUAGUGAAAUAUUCUAUGUACUACCCGUGGGGCUCUCACCAACCAAGUAUGCAACAUUUCAGGUUGGAACUCUGCUAUUCUAGAAUGUGGUCAUUGUCACUUCUGGUCACAACAUAUGGAUCCAGGGAGCAGUUAUGGGGAUGUCUACACAGGGAGUUUGGUCUCCAAUGUGGACUAGUUUUCAGGUGCAUCCUGUUAAUGCACUUACAUUAGAACUGAUAGGACAAUUCUUAGGAAUCUGGUGUUAAGAAUGCUUCUAUAAAUCACUAAUUAAAAUCUGGUGAAGUACUAGAGCAGUUGAAGAUUAUCUUGUGAUAAUUGCUUUGUUUCUUAUAUGAAGCCAGGGGUUUUUGAUGAAUUAAAGAACUAUUCAUUAAAGAACUAUUGCUACAACAGACAGGAUGUCUGAAAGAACAAAAGACAAAGUUUACAAAGUGUCAGAAGUCCACUCCAGAAUAUAUCUGUCUCAAAGUGGUGCCUGUAUAUCAAGACUCAGGUGUACUGAGAAAAAAUAUUUCCUGUUCACAGUGCUGUAAAAUAAUAAGUAAUGAAUCUGAUAAACAGCAUAUGCAGACUUGUACAAACCUACUUGAAUCAAAUAAAAAUUUUCAUAAUGGACAAAAUC